GUGUAAUUAUUCUUUUAUUUUUUUUUUAGUGUAGUGUUAAUUUUAAAUUAUUUGGAUUUUGUUUAAAUUUUAAUGAAAGGGCUUCCUUGUGACGUGUGGAACGUAAUAAGUCAGCUGACAUCCACUCUUUUAAACGCUUGUUUUGGAAGUUAAUACUUUAUAAGAAGUAGAUUUCUCAAUUGCAUUAUAUAUAGUUUUUUGAAAUCCAUCACAACACUCAUUAGCACUGAUUUCGUUGUAUAUUUCAGACCAUUUUUCUUCACA